UUGAGAUGUAAAAUUUGAUUACAAGUAAUUUACUUGAGUAUUACGAGCUGUGAAAUGCUGUUUUUCACGAGAAUCUUAAAACUCAAAAGACUUGGCGGUAUCUUAGGUCCUUCUAGGGGAACCUGUCCUAUAAUCGAUAGUCCACGAUUUAUCUUUCCUUUUCUUGAAAAUAUUCAGCUUGUAUACCGUCGUCGUCAGAUUACCUUUAAGAGUUAAAUAAGUUAUCAGGRGGAGUAGUGUCUUUAAUACUUACUUUGGCUUUAGUGGCUUAAAGCGGGUGUAAAAGAUAGUUUUCUAGAUGUCAGAUCAAGGUGCAGCUUAUGAGGAGGUAGAGAUGGGUUACAAUAAUUAUUUAUUAUUUACGGAUUUCUUAUUGAAAUUAUAAGAACUAAAGGCGGACUUAGAAGUAAUUAAUAAUGGAAAAUAGAAAGUUCCGGCGAAAAUGGCACUAAGAUGUG
rnacentral:rRNA from 1 species